CAUCGUUUCAUUUUUUUUCUUAUUUAUGUCCCGUAAAAAUAAUCUGGCAACCGGUGUAUGACGUGUUCCGACCAAGUGCUUCGAAAGUAAUACACGUGGAAUUAAAAAACAAAAAUCACAAAAUCCACGUAAAAGAGACUAGCAAAGCUCUUCUUCCUCUUUCUAGCGAUUUCAACCUCCCAAACUUACCAAUUGGGGCUGCAGGGGCUGCCCUUCUCUUGGCCGACAGCUGUUGCUGCUUAUUUUGCAAAGGUGUGAUAUCUCUCUCUGCAAAGGUGGAUGCUUGAUGAUUCUUGAGGUUUUAGUGUGAGAGAGAAAGAAAAAUCAACAACGUCGGAGGGUUGUUGCUGCAUCCAUUCCCUUCCCCUCCCCACUCACCGACACCGUCAAAAGUAGCGUCACCGUUGCGAUCGCCUAAGCUACCAGAAUCCUAGCCGGUGGCAUUCUCCAGUCGAAACACUGCAUUUUCCCCUGUUUUUUCCACUAUCCUAUUUUUCGCCUUUCCUUAUCAUCUAAGCAAUACAACGACGGAUAAGAUGGCGGGGGAUGAAAUAAUCGACGGAGGAUGGAGGAAUCGGCGGAGGAGGAAUCACCGGUGAUUGAAGGAGUUAGGGUUGAAUUAGGGGGAAUGGGAGAAGAAGAAAUCGUUUUUGUUUAAGGAAGAAGAGAUUUGAAGCGAUACGUGGAUUUUGUGAUUUUUUUUUAAAAUUCCACGUGUAUUACCUUUGUGGCACUUGGCUGGAACACGACAUACACCGGUCGCCGGUUUAUUUUUGCGCGACAUAAAUAAGAAAAAAAACAAAACGAUGAGUAUUGUUUUGUAAAUAUGCUUAUGGUAGGAUAUAUUUGAGAAAACGCUCAAACGAUGGGCCAAAAACUGAUAUUUACCAUUCUUAAAUUAUAGUUUG